GGGCGACUAGCUCAGAUGGUAGAGCGCUCGCUUAGCAUGCGAGAGGCACCGGGAUCGAUACCCGGGUUGUCCA
rfam:Guillardia theta CCMP2712 unplaced genomic scaffold GTITHscaffold_71, whole genome shotgun sequence.